rnacentral:rRNA from 1 species
CAGUAGCCGCGGUAAUACGGAGGGAGCUAGCGUUGUUCGGAAUUACUGGGCGUAAAGCGCGCGUAGGCGGUUACUCAAGUCAGAGGUGAAAGCCCGGGGCUCAACCCCGGAACUGCCUUUGAAACUAGGUGACUAGAAUCUUGGAGAGGUCAGUGGAAUUCCGAGUGUAGAGGUGAAAUUCGUAGAUAUUCGGAAGAACACCAGUGGCGAAGGCGACUGACUGGACAAGUAUUGACGCUGAGGUGCGAAAGCGUGGGGAGCAAACAGGAUUAGAUACCCGGGUAGUCCCUGUCCUUAUACA